AAAGAAAGAUAACCUAGUAGGAAAAAGGACAAAGAAUAAAAAUAGGCAAUUCAGAGAAGAAAAAAUACAAGUGAUCAAUACAUAUAGUAAAAGAUGGCCACGUUGGAACACCUGUGCAUUGCUGGUGGGAAUCUGAAAUGGCACAGAUGCUAUGCAAAACAAUAUGUCAGUUCCUCAAAAAAGUAAGUAGAAAAUUACCAUAUGAUACAGCAACUCCAAACUAACCAAUAAGAGAUUAUUUUCCACUAAUCAAGUUAACAAAAAUUUAAAAGAUUGAAAAUAUCUAGUGUGACUAAGGUUUAGGAUGAAGGAUACUCUGCUACAAUGUGUAUCCCCCCGAUUCAUGUGUUGGAAAUGUAAUCCCCAAGGCAACAGUGUUGGGAGGUGGAGCUCCACCCUUAACCACAAGGUCUCCACCCUCAAGAAUGGAUUAAUGCCAAUUAUAAAAGGGCUUGAGGCUGCAAAUUCAAUCUCUUUCUCUCUCUUGCACUCUCUUUGCCCUGCCAUAGAAUGACACAGCAAGAAGUGUACUGCCAGAUGCCAGACCCUCAAUUCUGGACUUCCCAGCCUCCAGAACGGUAUGAAGCAUUCCCAAAGAGAACUUUUUCCUGAGAGAAUCAUGGCCUAAAUAGAAUUAAACAACUAGAAAUUACUAUAUUCUUAACUGAGAUCUACUUUGUUUUAAUGUGAAUGCAUGGCAGUGAAGAAGCCCAUGGCCACAAGUACAGUAUGUUGCCACUGUCUUUAUGUGUACAAGUCUGUCAACAGUCUUACCCACCAUUACUGUUGCACCAUUGGUGCAAAUGUCAACAGUGAAAAAAGUAAAUGAUGUCUUAGUACCAUUGUGAAAAUAAUUUUGACCUCUCCAAUUGCCUGGAAAGGAUCUUGGAGGUCCCCAGGGAUUUGUAGGCCAUAUUUUGAGAAUCUCUAGACUAGAUAGUCCUUUUUUAAUAUUCUUUUUCUUAUUUGUGUAAAUUUAUGGAGUACAAGCACAAUUUUGCUACAUGCAUAGAUUGCAUAGUGAUGGGAUUAUUUUUAAUGGGAUUGUUUGGGGCUUUUUUUACUGUUGAGUU